UGUGUACUAGAUCUGAAGGCUCUGCCUCAUCCACUGUAUCGUGCUGCCUCCCCAAGGUGAGCUUUUCUAACCUGCAUACUAGCCAGCUUUUCAAGCUUGCUACUGAGAUAAAAAAAAAGGGGGCGGGGGGAAAUGUGCUGGAAACAGACAAACAAACAAACAAAGAAAAACAAACUUGGUUUUUCUAGGCUUGAAUCGGCAAUGGGGGGAAAAAAAGUACCCUAGGAACAACCUUCUUGAGCCCAUUAAAACAUACAGAGAUGACUGGCUUUUUAUGACUGAGUGGCUUUUAUUUGUGGCUGUGAUCUCAGGGGAAGCCAAUUUGCUGUGUCCUAUUCCUUGACUUAUACUGGACCCCAACUCCUGGCUAAGGGAACUUUGAGUCACCAAGGGAAUCUGAAAAUAUACUAAGGGAUAAAUCAACAGUAAUUAAAUAGUUCAGUAGCGAAAAGCCCACUGAGGCAUAUAGAAAAAAGCAAUGUAACAGCAUUUCACUAGUUGACUUAGAAAAAUUAGGCCUGUUAUCCAAACUGCUACAACUUGCCUUAUCAAAAUUCAACCAGGAAACAGAGGAAACCUGAAGUCAGUCCGAAACAUACGAAUGCGUCAACUUUGUUUUUUUUUUUCAGCACAUCAUUACACAUCAUCCAUUUGGUAAAUGGCAGAGGGAGGGGAGGAGAGCCCUCCUCACCAAAGGUUCCAAGGGCAGCAGGGAGGAUUAAGGCUCGGGCGCCCCAAACACAACACAACCUAGAAAGUGACGUGUCGAGGGGAAUCACAAAUAAAGUGCCACCAGCGGCGUUUGCGGCCAGGAAGAAAAAAGUACGCUAAAAUUUAAUUAUAAGUUUAAGCAACUCUCUACGACAUGGAACGUGCGUUUGCUUUGAGCUCCACGGAAUCGUUUCCAAGCCAAAGCAAACCAUCCUGGCGGUCAGAGGCCGAGAUAACGGGAAGGCGGCCAGUCGUACCAAUCAGCAGCGCUCAAGUCUCGUUAGCGCAGACCUGCUGCCCGCGGCCAGGCCGGGCAGCUGUUGAUCCCCGGGCCAUUCUUUUAAAGCCCAGGCAGAGCGCGGGUGGGAAGCGUGCGAGGAGAGCUGAGCCAGGGAGUUGCGGGGAGGAGAAGAAUUAGAGGAGACAGCACUGAUGGGAGUGACAGAAGCGGUGCCGGUUAACUCCCCACCAUCAAAAGUAUCUUCUGCUGUAGUCUGGCACAAGUUUCAAGCAUCCACUGGGGGUCUUGGGAUGCGUCGCCCUGCAGAUAAGGGCAACUGCUGUGCAGCAUGAACAGUAUGGAGACAAUACUUAUCUUCAUGGAGUUUAUAUUAGAGUAAGACAAGAGGUAGGAGACUGCCUAUUUUAUUGUUCUCUUGAAAAGACUGGGUAUUUUACUUUUAUGAAAGGCUUUAUAGCCUGCAGGGGCAUUCUAAUAUGGAUUUUGGGGGUGAAGAGAGAAAUAGGUGUAGAAAGUAAGUUCAGGGGUGCAGAGACCCAUAGGUUUUUUAAAAGAGAAGUCAGGGGAAGGUCUCUUAAGGUAGUAGUGGAGUCCAAAUUAUUCUAUGUCCCUUGUAGCUCCUACCCUUUGUAUGCAGUAAUUUUUUUUUAAAUCGAAGACAGGGGAAGGUCUCUUAAGGUAAUAGUAGAGACCAAAUUAUUCUAUCUCCCUCGUAGCUCCUUCCCUGUGUAUGCAGUUAACGGAGUGUGGUUUCCCCACUUGUCCCGAAAUCUUCUAGGCACAACAGAUUCCUGUAGUGAGCUGCAUGCAAGGAAGAAGCCUGGUAGGUGAGUAAUUAUUAUAAUCACCAAGAACCCUGAAAGUAACUACUGAUACUUUAUUUAAAUCAAGUAGCUAAUUAAAAAUGUGAAUAUACAACCAAAUCCCAAGACACGAAUAUCAUGAAAAGGAAACAUCAAAAUAAAUAAGCAAAAAACUUGACCUUUCAUGAAACAGCUAAUGCAAAUGAAAACUCCAAUUAUUGUUUUCACAGAAGUUUAAGAGGAUAAUGCAUCCAUAUAAUUAAAAUAAGCUCCAGUGAAAAGGAGUUUUCAGAAAUUCUAAGAAAAAUAUAUUUGCCUAAUUUAAAGCCUCAAAAGAAAGUUGAAGAGCAAAAUGCACACAGCUGAAGCUGACAGUAUUAAAGACUCAGUGAUGAUAUUCUCUGAGAACACAGAAAGAAAAGAAAUAGAUAAUAUGAUAAAAGCAAUAACAGAAAUUCAAAAAAGAGAGGCUAAAGUGAAAGAAUAAGAGAACAACAACAACACACACAUCACCCCUCCAAACCUUAUGAAUUUCCAGAGAGAAAAACUAUAUAGGAAUUUUCAUCUGUAAUGCUCAAUGCUAGAACACAAAGAAGCAAUGUCAACAAAAUGUUGAAUGAAACUCACAAAUAUCUAUUAACCAAUCUAUCAAUCAAAUAUGAGGGCAAAAUAAAGCCAUUUUUCAGGUAAGAAAGCACCCAGAAAGCAUGCCAAUUCUACAUGUCAAGGAAAAAUAAAUCAGUAAAAUUUGAAGUCAAGUCCAAAGAUUGCUGGUGUCUUUAAUGUAAAUGUUUAGAGACUUCUUAAAACAUAACAGAUAAGACAACAAUCUAGAAAGUAAAUUUCAGCAUAACCUGGAAGGAGAGGGUGUCUAGGCAGGGACAAGUAGAAAUAUUCCAACAGCUCAGUGCUGAAGCAAGCAGGUCUCUAGGUACAGAGCCUGAGUAUGAAUUCUGCCUCCACUACUCACUGGCUGUGUGCCUUUCAGA
rnacentral:lncRNA from 1 species